rnacentral:rRNA from 1 species
CCCAGGGGAUUGCCUUAAUUAACGGGCGGAGGUGAAGCGGGCAAAAGCUCAAAUUUGAAAUCUGGCACCUUCGGUGUCCGAGUUGUAAUUUGAAGAAGCUACUUUGGGGCUAGUCCUUGUCUAUGUUCCUUGGAACAGGACGUCAUGGAGGGUGAAAAUCCCGUAUGGCGAGGAGUCUAGUCCUAUGUAAAGUGCUUUCGACGAGUCGAGUUGUUUGGGAAUGCACCUCUAAGUGGGUGGUAAAUUCCAUCUAAAGCUAAAUAUUGGCGAGAGACCGAUAGCGAACAAGUACAGUGAUGGAAAGAUGAAAAGAACUUUGAAAAGAGAGUGAAAAAGUACGUGAAAUUGUUGAAAGGGAAGGGCUUUUGAUCAGACAUGGUGUUUUGCGACCCUCGCUCCUUGUGGGGGGGGAUCUCGCAGCUCACUGGGCCAACAUCAGUUUUGGCGGUAGGAUAAAUCUUUGGGAACGUGGCUUGUCUUCGGAGAAGCGUUAUAGCCCGGGGGAAUACUGCCAGCCGGGACUGAGGACUGCGACUUUUGUCAAGGAUGUUGGCAUAAUGGUUAAAUGCCGCCCGUCUUGAAACACGAACCAAA